UACGGAGGGGGCUAGCGUUGUUCGGAAUUACUGGGCGUAAAGCGCGCGCAGGCGGCUAUCCAAGUCAGUGGUGAAAGCCCGGAGCUCAACUCCGGAACUGCCAUUGAAACUGUUUAGCUUGAGGACGAGAGAGGUGAGUGGAAUUCCCAGUGUAGAGGUGAAAUUCGUAGAUAUUGGGAAGAACACCGGUGGCGAAGGCGGCUCACUGGCUCGUUUCUGACGCUCAGGCGCGAUAGCGUGGGGAUCAAACAGG
rnacentral:rRNA from 1 species